UCCAGUCUGCUCACUGAUAAUUUAAAGAGCCGCAGUAUAUUGACUGUGCAAAGGUAGCAUAAUCAAUAGUUUUUUAAUUGAGAACUUGUAUGAAAGAUUAGACGAGAAAUUUAUUUUCUUUAUUUUAAAUAAUUAAAUUUUAAAUUUAAGUGAAAAUGCUUAAUUAAAUUUAAAAGACGAGAAGACCCUAUAGAUUUUUAUUAUUUAAUUAAAUUAGAAUAAAAAAUUUAAUAUGAUAAUUUCAUUGGGGUGAUUUUGUAAUAAAUAAAACUUAAUUUUUUUAAAACCAUAAAUAAUUGAAAUUUUUGAUCUAAAAUUUUUAAAGAAAAGAUUAAAUUACCUUAGGGAUAACAGCGUAAUUUUUUUUAAGAGUUCAUAUCUAUAAAAAAGUUUGCGACCUCGAUGUUGAAUUAAGAUAAUAUAUUGAAGUAG
rnacentral:rRNA from 1 species